UGGCCACUCGUCUAAGGGUAGGACAGCAGAUUCUGGAUCUGCUUAUCGAGGUUCGAAUCCUUGGUGGCCAGCCA
rnacentral:tRNA from 1 species